GACGAACGCUGGCGGCGUGCUUAACACAUGCAAGUCGAACGGAAAGGCCCUGCUUUUUGGGGUGCUCGAGUGGCGAACGGGUGAGUAACACGUGAGUAACCUGCCCUUGACUUUGGGAUAACUUCAGGAAACUGGGGCUAAUACCGGAUAGGAGCUCCUGCUGCAUGGUGGGGGUUGGAAAGUUUCGGCGGUUGGGGAUGGACUCGCGGCUUAUCAGCUUGUUGGUGGGGUAGUGGCUUACCAAGGCUUUGACGGGUAGCCGGCCUGAGAGGGUGACCGGCCACAUUGGGCCUGAGAUACGGCCCAGACUCCUACGGGAGGCAGCAGUGGGGAAUAUUGCACAAUGGGCGGAAGCCUGAUGCAGCAACGCCGCGUGCGGGAUGACGGCCUUCGGGUUGUAAACCGCUUUCGCCUGUGACGAAGCGUGAGUGACGGUAAUGGGUAAAGAAGCACCGGCUAACUACGUG
rnacentral:rRNA from 1 species